rnacentral:rRNA from 1 species
AGAGUUUGAUCAUGGCUCAGAUUGAACGCUGGCGGCAGGCCUAACACAUGCAAGUCGAGCGGUAGAGAGAAGCUUGCUUCUCUUGAGAGCGGCGGACGGGUGAGUAAUGCCUAGGAAUCUGCCUGGUAGUGGGGGAUAACGUUCGGAAACGGACGCUAAUACCGCAUACGUCCUACGGGAGAAAGCAGGGGACCUUCGGGCCUUGCGCUAUCAGAUGAGCCUAGGUCGGAUUAGCUAGUUGGUGGGGUAAUGGCUCACCAAGGCGACGAUCCGUAACUGGUCUGAGAGGAUGAUCAGUCACACUGGAACUGAGACACGGUCCAGACUCCUACGGGAGGCAGCAGUGGGGAAUAUUGGACAAUGGGCGAAAGCCUGAUCCAGCCAUGCCGCGUGUGUGAAGAAGGUCUUCGGAUCGUAAAGCACUUUAAGUUGGGAGGAAGGGCAGUAAAUUAAUACUUUGCUGUUUUGACGUUACCGACAGAAUAAGCACCGGCUAACUCUGUGCCAGCAGCCGCGGUAAU